rnacentral:rRNA from 1 species
AGAGUUUGAUCCUGGCUCAGGACGAACGCUGGCGGCGUGCUUAACACAUGCAAGUCGAACGAAGCUUGAUUACGGAUUCUUCGGAUGAAGUAUGAUAUGACUGAGUGGCGGACGGGUGAGUAACGCGUGAGUAACCUGCCCUUCAGAGGGGGAUAGCGUUUGGAAACGAACGGUAAUACCGCAUAAUGUAUUUUGACCGCAUGAUCGAAAUACCAAAGAUUUAUCGCUGAAGGAUGGACUCGCGUCUGAUUAGGUAGUUGGUGGGGUAACGGCCUACCAAGCCGACGAUCAGUAGCCGACCUGAGAGGGUGACCGGCCACAUUGGGACUGAGACACGGCCCAGACUCCUACGGGAGGCAGCAGUGGGGGAUAUUGCACAAUGGGGGAAACCCUGAUGCAGCGACGCCGCGUGAGGGAAGACGGCCUUCGGGUUGUAAACCUCUGUCUUCGGGGACGAAUAAAUGACGGUACCCGAGGAGGAAGCCACGGCUAACUACGUGCCAGCAGCCGCGGUAAUACGUAGGUGGCAAGCGUUGUCCGGAAUUACUGGGUGUAAAGGGAGCGCAGGCGGGUGAUCAAGUCAGCUGUGAAAACUACGGGCUUAACCCGUAGACUGCAGUUGAAACUGUUCAUCUUGAGUGAAGUAGAGGUUGGCGGAAUUCCGAGUGUAGCGGUGAAAUGCGUAGAUAUUCGGAGGAACACCGGUGGCGAAGGCGGCCAACUGGGCUUUAACUGACGCUGAGGCUCGAAAGUGUGGGGAGCAAACAGGAUUAGAUACCCUGGUAGUCCACACUGUAAACGAUGAUUGCUAGGUGUGGGGGGUCUGACCCCUUCCGUGCCGGAGCUAACGCAAUAAGCAAUCCACCUGGGGAGUACGACCGCAAGGUUGAAACUCAAAGGAAUUGACGGGGACCCGCACAAGCAGUGGAUUAUGUGGUUUAAUUCGAAGCAACGCGAAGAACCUUACCAGGGCUUGACAUCCAACUAACGAAGCAGAGAUGCAUUAGGUGCCCUUCGGGGAAAGUUGAGACAGGUGGUGCAUGGUUGUCGUCAGCUCGUGUCGUGAGAUGUUGGGUUAAG